UCUGAGGGCAGAAAUCCAAGGCGGGGCCCACUGUGAAGCCUAUCGUGCUUCAGGCCAGUCAAGGAAUAUCGCGGUAUGUUUGAACUAAGCACGCCCUUGAAAUUGCCAAACCCAAGCCGUCAGCAGGUUCUAGAUAGGUGCCACAGAUUAGUUCGUUUGUUUGAAAUAC
rnacentral:ribozyme from 14 species